UGAAACGCGAAGAACGGGAUCAGUAAAGUCAAUCCGGUUGUCCAGAGAGCUGCGGGGUGGUGCGACGCAGUCGGCGGAAGCUUGAAACUCGCCCGGGAGCGGCAAAGCCCAAAGAACUUGCGGGAAAUCUCUCGUGAAGGUCGAGUAGGCUGCGACGGAUUAGCCCUCCGUGACAAGGGGUUCGAGGUGGAAUUCUAACGUGCGUUGGUGCUUGGAGUUCAAAAAGAGUGGUACCGCGGCAAGGUUACAGCCUGUCGUCUCUUGG
rnacentral:ncRNA from 1 species